UACAGAGGUGGCAAGCGUUGUUCGGAAUUACUGGGCGUAAAGGGCGCGUAGGCGGCCUUCUAAGUCAGACGUGAAAUCCCCCGGCUUAACCUGGGAACUGCGUCUGAUACUGGGAGGCUCGAGUAUGGGAGAGGGAUGUAGAAUUCCAGGUGUAGCGGUGAAAUGCGUAGAUAUCGGAAGGAACGCCGGUGGCGAAAGCGAGCUGCUGGAUCCCUCCUGACGCUGAGGCGCGAAAGCCAGGGGAGCGAACGGG
rnacentral:rRNA from 1 species